CCUACGGGAGGCAGCAGUGGGGAAUUUUGGACAAUGGGGGAAACCCUGAUCCAGCAAUGCCGCGUGUGUGAAGAAGGCCUUCGGGUUGUAAAGCACUUUUGUCCGGAAAGAAAACUUCUGCCCUAAUACGGUGGGAGGAUGACGGUACCGGAAGAAUAAGCACCGGCUAACUACGUGCCAGCAGCCGCGGUAAUACGUAGGGUGCGAGCGUUAAUCGGAAUUACUGGGCGUAAAGCGUGCGCAGGCGGUUCGUUAAGACAGAUGUGAAAUCCCCGGGCUUAACCUGGGAACUGCAUUUGUGACUGGCGAGCUAGAGUAUGGCAGAGGGGGGUAGAAUUCCACGUGUAGCAGUGAAAUGCGUAGAGAUGUGGAGGAAUACCGAUGGCGAAGGCAGCCCCCUGGGCCAAUACUGACGCUCAUGCACGAAAGCGUGGGGAGCAAACAGGAUUAGAUACCCUGGUAGUCCACGCCCUAAACGAUGUCAACUAGUUGUUGGGUCCUUCAUUGUACUUAGUAACGUAGUACUACGUACGUGUAGUUAGUACCGCCGUCGGGAGGUACGGUCGCGAGAAUAAACUUAAAUAGAGUAGACGCGNGAGACGUGCCGACGGACGACGACGAGGGAGGUAGG
rnacentral:rRNA from 1 species